rnacentral:rRNA from 1 species
GUCCACGCUGUAAACGAUGAGCACUAGGUGUCGUGGGUAUUGACCCCCGCGGUGCCGACGCUAACGCAUUAAGUGCUCCGCCUGGGGACUACGGCCGCAAGGUUAAAACUCAAAGGAAUUGACGGGGCCCGCACAAGCGGUGGAGCAUGUGGUUCAAUUCGACGCAACGUGAAGAACCUUACCUGGGGCUAGACAACGGAGGACAGCUCCAGAGAUGGGGUCUCCCUUCGGGGACCUCCGGUUCAGGUGCUGCAUGGCUGUCGU